UAAUGUCUGCAGCUCUUUUGGAUGGCUGUCGUCCAGAAACAAGACAACAUGAGCUAAUCUCCGUAGGGAAUGGGACAUCACAUCCUGACCUUGAUAUACAGGAUGUUUCUCUGAAUGAAUGAAAACAAAUCAACUGCAAUCUUACACAGAAAAGAACACGAACUUUAGAUGCCAUCUUCUAAAUAUCAGAGACUAAAAGGGCAAAGGACUGUACUCCAGUCACACACUCAAGCCAUACACCAAGACAAAAAUCUCUAUUAUAUCAUCUGCAAUUAUGAUGCCAAUUUGGAUUAGCCACUGCCCCAGCUAACCAUUUCGCGUGCCUUUGAGAAAGUCAGGUAAGGUAGAAUUAAUCUUUCCUAAUAAAAAAUUAAGCUUUCCAUAUAAAAGAGAGGCA
rnacentral:lncRNA from 1 species